rnacentral:lncRNA from 1 species
GUAUUAUUCUGCACAGUUUGUAAAAAUCCCAAAGUCAUUAUCAUAUCACAACAGGGAGUAAAUUGAUAAUGAACUUAUGUAAAUAUAAGCACAUGGUAAUUAAUCUAAAUAUAUAGGCAUUUGGCAUGUUUGGGAGGGGCUAAUAUGUCAAUCAUCUGUUGAUACCAGUGUCCAGCUGUUAAUCCCUGACCACAAGAUAAAUAUUAUAGUCUUAUCUCAUUGUUUUGCAACA